rnacentral:rRNA from 1 species
CUACUAAGUGGGAAACGAUGUGGGAAGGCUCAGACAGCCAGGAUGUUGGCUUAGAAGCAGCCAUCAUUUAAAGAAAGCGUAAUAGCUCACUAGUCGAGUCGGCCUGCGCGGAAGAUGUAACGGGGCUAAGUAAUAAACCGAAGCUGCGGCAAUGAAGUUUACUUCAUUGGGUAGGGGAGCGUUCUGUAAGCCGUUGAAGGUGGAUUGUAAAGUCUGCUGGAGGUAUCAGAAGUGCGAAUGCUGACAUGAGUAACGAUAAAGGGGGUGAAAAACCUCCUCGCCGGAAGACCAAGGGUUCCUGUCCAACGUUAAUCGGGGCAGGGUAAGUCGACCCCUAAGGCGAGGCCGAAAGGCGUAGUCGAUGGGAAACGGGUUAAUAUUCCCGUACUUCUUACAAUUGCGAUGGGGGGACGGAGAAGGCUAGGUGGGCCUGGCGACGGUUGUCCAGGUUCAAGUGCGUAGGCUUGAGGGUUAGGUAAAUCCGGCUCUCUUUAAGGCUGAGACACGACGUCGAGCUACUACGGUAGUGAAGUCAUUGAUGCCAUGCUUCCAGGAAAAGCCUCUAAGCUUCAGAU